GCUCGGGUGGUGGAAUGGCAGACACAUCCGCUUUAGGUGCGGACGCCGAAAGGUAUGCGGGUUCGACUCCCGCCCCGAGCA
rnacentral:tRNA from 1 species